rnacentral:lncRNA from 1 species
CAAAAUCAAAGAUUAAUGUUGAAACAAAUUUAUUGAAGACAAAUGCAGUGAUGAAUUGAAGGAUGUUAAAUAAAUCCUUUCACAGAUAUCGGAAGAUGUAACAUGAGUUCCAAUGAGGCAACUCUCCAUUCAAUUAACAAUUUAUAAAAAUAAAUCAUUAUAGGUCAAGGUACGGCCUUCAACUUAAGCUCAAACCGAACAACAAGCUAUAAAGGGCCCAAAAAUUACUAAUGUAAAACCAUUCAAACGGGAAAACCAACGGUCUAAUCUAUAUAAAAAAAUGAGAAACGAGAAACACGUAUAAAUUACAUAUACAAACGACAACUACUGUACAUCAGCUUCCUCACUUAGGACAGGUGCAGACAUUUGCAGCGGGAUUAAACAUAUUCCUAUUGAAAUUCAUAAAGUAACAUGCCAGGGUUUGUUAAGAAGGAAAAACAUUUUUUAUCCUUGCAUGUUCAUAUGUUCCUAAAAACACUAACAUCUCAAUAGAACUCUUCGUUUUGCUUUGACCUGCAAAUAUGCAAUAUAAAUUGAUCAAAUAGACCCCACUUUUCUCUCUGAUAGGUGUUCGUUCUAAGGCACCAGCAAACUCCCCGGCAGUUCCAGUUCCGAUCCGCAUACGGGCCCGAAUACUAUUCUACACUAAUGAUGGAGUAAAAGGAAACAGUUCCGGAACGGAAACGAUCACUGUCCGGAGUUUGAGGCACCAGGUCCCAUAUGCGAAAUUGAGAAACAAGUCCCG